rnacentral:rRNA from 1 species
UACGUAGGGUGCAAGCGUUAAUCGGAAUUAUUGGGCGUAAAGCGCGCGCAGGCGGUCCUUUAAGUCUGAUGUGAAAGCCCACGGCUCAACCGUGGAGGGUCAUUGGAAACUGGGGGACUUGAGUACAGAAGAGAAGAGUGGAAUUCCACGUGUAGCGGUGAAAUGCGUAGAGAUGUGGAGGAACACCAGUGGCGAAGGCGACUCUUUGGUCUGUAACUGACGCUGAGGCGCGAAAGCGUGGGGAGCAAACAGG